UACAGAGGUCCCGAGCGUUGUUCGGAUUCAUUGGGCGUAAAGGGUGCGUAGGCGGCGGGGCAAGUCUGAUGUGAAAUCCCGGGGCUCAACCCCGGAACUGCAUUGGAUACUGCCUUGCUAGAGUACUGGAGAGGGAACUGGAAUUUACGGUGUAGCAGUGAAAUGCGUAGAUAUCGUGAGGAACACCAGAGGCGAAGGCGGUUUCCUGGACAGUUACUGACGCUCAGGCACGAAAGCAUGGGGAGCAAAAGGG
rnacentral:rRNA from 1 species